ensembl:lncRNA
UAAUUCUAAAUAAGUGGCAGUUGUGAUGGUGGCUAUGAGGGUAUCUGCUAAAAAAAAAAUGCUAUAAACGUGGCUGCACUUGCAGACCAUCCGUUAGCAUUAAUAAAUAAACGAGUAAACAUAUGUAGCCUAGCCUUCAUAGUGUUCAACUAUCCCUUACGCAAGUUUGGAUGUAAUUUGAAGUGUGCUUUUCUCUGUGUGUCUGUAUACUUGUCUGUCUCCCAAAUUCACCUCACUUUAUCUCUGUCUUUGCAACUGCACAUCCAGACACCAUGCAGCGUGUGCAGCCGCCAUCCUCUUUUUUCAGAUCGCCUUCUCGGUCCACGGAAAUACUGUACUGUUUGGGGGAUCCUGAACGACAGGAACGGCCACGCAUCUGAGUCAAAUUCCAGACGCUCAUGCUAAUUGACCACAUCCGUGCUGAAGUCUGCCGUCUUCUUAACGCCGGCAUUGUGACCGAGGCCGGCCUUCUGCAUCACAGCCUAGAGAGCAGACGCACGGUGCUGGAAGGAGUCUGGCCCAGACGUGGCCCAGUGCCGGGCUCCUGUCUGGGAGGGGCUGGGGCUUAUUAUAGCCCGAGCGGAGGGACACAGCCGCACGGAAAGUCACCGCAGAUUAAAACAGAACAACGGGAGCAUUCUGUCGGCAUCUGAUAAUGUGGAGCGGAGCCUGGGAAAAGUGGAUGAUUAACGUCUGUCGGCGGCGACUAGCAACUGGAGGUGAGGUCACGGCGUAUCGGUGCGUGCGACAAUGCCCAUUGUUCCCUCCUGCUUCGCAGGAAGUGGGCGCGCGGGACUUCCUGUGACCAGUGCGAUUGUUCCAGGUAGGGGCCCAGCGGUCCCCUGGGGCGCCUUCAGUUUCCCUGCCAUGUGACACACACACAUGCAUAUACACACAUAAAUAUGCAUACACACGUUCACACUUGUGUACAAAAAUAACAGUAACAGACAUUCACACUUGUGUACAAAAAUACGC